rnacentral:rRNA from 1 species
AGGACGAACGCUGGCGGCGUGCUUAACACAUGCAAGUCGAGCGGUAAGGCCCUUCGGGGUACACGAGCGGCGAACGGGUGAGUAACACGUGGGUAAUCUGCCCUGUACUUUGGGAUAAGCCCGGGAAACUGGGUCUAAUACCGGAUAUGACCUUGUCACGCAUGUGGUGGGGUGGAAAGUUCCGGCGGUACGGGAUGGGCCCGCGGCCUAUCAGCUUGUUGGUGGGGUAAUGGCCUACCAAGGCGACGACGGGUAGCCGGCCUGAGAGGGCGACCGGCCACACUGGGACUGAGACACGGCCCAGACUCCUACGGGAGGCAGCAGUGGGGAAUCUGCACAAUGGGCGAAAGCCUGAUGCAGCGACGCCGCGUGAGGGAUGACGGCCUUCGGGUUGUAAACCUCUUUCAGUAGGGACGAAGCGUAAGUGACGGUACCUGCAGAAGAAGCACCGGCUAACGUACGUGCCAGCAGCC